GACGAACGCUGGCGGCAGGCCUAAUACAUGCAAGUCGAGCGGAGCGGGGUACGGGGGAGUAAGGCCUAGGAAUCGGCCCGGUCGUGGCCUACAACUUCGGGAAACGGGCGCCAAGAUCGCAUACUAGCAGAUGAGUCUAGGUGGGAUUUGCUAGUUGGUGGGGUAAUGGCGUAGCAAGGCGACGAUCCGUAACUGGUCUGAGAGGAUGAUCAGGCACACUGGAACUGAGACACGGUCCAGACUCCGACGGGAGGCAGCAGUGGGGAAGAGUGGGCAAUGGGCGAAAGCCUGAUCGAGCCAUGCCGCGUGUGUGAAGAAGGUCUUCGGAUUGUAAAGCUCUUUACGUUGUGAGGCGGUACCUACAGAAGAAGCACCGGCUAACUACGUGCCAGCAGCCGCGGUAAUAC
rnacentral:rRNA from 1 species